UAUGAUGGCAGUUAUGGAGGUGAUAAUGUUGACAGGAAUGUAAGAUCUGAUCAUGGUGGUUAUGGAGGUGAUAAUGUUGGAAGGAAUGUAAGAUCUUAUGAUAGCAGUUAUGGAGGUAAUGAUGUUGACAGGAACGUAAGAUCUUAUGAUGGCAGUUAUGGAGGUAAUAAUGUUGAAAGGAAUGUAAGAUUGUAUGAUGGCAGUUAUGGAGGUGAUAAUGUUGAAAGGAAUAUAAGAUCUUAUGAUGGC